UCCCUGGUAGUCCAGUGGUUAGGAUUCGGCGCUCCCACCACCAUGGCCCGGGCUCGAUUCCCGGUCAGGGAG